UAGAGUUAGCUUGCUAACUUGAGACCGGCGCACGGGUGCGUAACGCGUAUGCAAUCUACCUUGUACAGGGGGAUAGCCCAGAGAAAUUUGGAUUAAUACCCCAUGGUGUUAUGUUGUGGCAUCACAUUAUAACUAAAGUUCCAACGGUACAAGAUGAGCAUGCGUCCCAUUAGCUAGUUGGUACAAGUAACGGCAUACCAAGGCAAUGAUGGGUAGGGGUCCUGAGAGGGAGAUCCCCCACACUGGUACUGAGACACGGACCAGACUCCUACGGGAGGCAGCAGUGAGGAAUAUUGGUCAAUGGGCGCAAGCCUGAACCAGCCAUGCCGCGUGCAGGAUGACGGUCCUAUGGAUUGUAAACUGCUUUUAUACGGGAAGAAACACUCCUACGUGUAGGAACUUGACGGUACCGUAAGAAUAAGGAUCGGCUAACUCCGUGCCAGCAGCCGCGGUAAUACGGAGGAUCCAAGCGUUAUCCGGAAUCAUUGGGUUUAAAGGGUCCGUAGCGGUCUUAUAAGUCAGUGGUGAAAGCCCAUCGCUUAACGAUGGAACGGCCAUUGAUACUGUAGGACUUGAAUUAGUGGGAAGUAACUAGAAUAUGUAGUGUAGCGGUGAAAUGCUUAGAUAUUACAUGGAAUACCAAUUGCGAAGGCAGGUUACUAUCACUAUAUUGACGCUGAUGGACGAAAGCGUGGGGAGCGAACAGGAUUAGAUACCCUGGUAGUCCACGCCGUAAACGAUGGAUACUAGCUGUUCGGAGCAAUCUGAGUGGCUAAGCGAAAGUGAUAAGUAUCCCACCUGGGGAGUACGUUCGCAAGAAUGAAACUCAAAGGAAUUGACGGGGGCCCGCACAAGCGGAGGAGCAUGUGGUUUAAUUCGAUGAUACGCGAGGAACCUUACCAGGGCUUAAAUGGGAGACGACAGAUCUGGAAACAGAUUUUUCUUCGGACGUCUUUCAAGGUGCUGCAUGGUUGUCGUCAGCUCGUGCCGUGAGGUGUCAGGUUAAGUCCUAUAACGAGCGCAACCCCUAUUGUUAGUUGCCAGCGGGUCAUGCCGGGAACUCUAACAAGACUGCCGG
rnacentral:rRNA from 1 species